GAUGAACGCUAGCUACAGGCUUAACACAUGCAAGUCGAGGGGCAUCAGGAAGAAAGCUUGCUUUCUUUGCUGGCGACCGGCGCACGGGUGAGUAACACGUAUCCAACCUGCCCUUUACUCGGGGAUAGCCUUUCGAAAGAAAGAUUAAUACCCGAUAGUAUAAUGAUUCCGCAUGGUUUGAUUAUUAAAGGAUUCCGGUAAAGGAUGGGGAUGCGUUCCAUUAGGUUGUUGGUGAGGUAACGGCUCACCAAGCCUUCGAUGGAUAGGGGUUCUGAGAGGAAGGUCCCCCACAUUGGAACUGAGACACGGUCCAAACUCCUACGGGAGGCAGCAGUGAGGAAUAUUGGUCAAUGGGCGGUAGCCUGAACCAGCCAAGUAGCGUGAAGGAUGAAGGCUCUAUGGGUCGUAAACUUCUUUUAUAUAAGAAUAAAGUGCAGUAUGUAUACUGUUUUGUAUGUAUUAUAUGAAUAAGGAUCGGCUAACUCCGUGCCAGCAGCCGCGGUAAUACGGAGGAUCCGAGCGUUAUCCGGAUUUAUUGGGUUUAAAGGGAGCGUAGGUGGACUGGUAAGUCAGUUGUGAAAGUUUGCGGCUCAACCGUAAAAUUGCAGUUGAUACUGUCAGUCUUGAGUACAGUAGAGGUGGGCGGAAUUCGUGGUGUAGCGGUGAAAUGCUUAGAUAUCACGAAGAACUCCGAUUGCGAAGGCAGCUCACUGGACUGCAACUGACACUGAUGCUCGAAAGUGUGGGUAUCAAACAGGAUUAGAUACCCUGGUAGUCCACACAGUAAACGAUGAAUACUCGCUGUUUGCGAUAUACAGUAAGCGGCCAAGCGAAAGCAUUAAGUAUUCCACCUGGGGAGUACGCCGGCAACGGUGAAACUCAAAGGAAUUGACGGGGGCCCGCACAAGCGGAGAAACAUGUGGUUUAAUUCGAUGAUACGCGAGGAACCUUACCCGGGCUUAAAUUGCAGUGGAAUGAUGUGGAAACAUGUCAGUGAGCAAUCACCGCUGUGAAGGUGCUGCAUGGUUGUCGUCGGCUCGUGCCGUGAGGUGUCGGCUUAAGUGCCAUAACGAGCGCAACCCUUAUCUUUAGUUACUAACAGGUUAUGCUGAGGACUCUAGAGAGACUGCCGUCGUAAGAUGUGAGGAAGGUGGGGAUGACGUCAAAUCAGCACGGCCCUUACGUCCGGGGCUACACACGUGUUACAAUGGGGGGUACAGAAGGCAGCUAGCGGGUGACCGUAUGCUAAUCCCAAAAUCCUCUCUCAGUUCGGAUCGAAGUCUGCAACCCGACUUCGUGAAGCUGGAUUCGCUAGUAAUCGCGCAUCAGCCACGGCGCGGUGAAUACGUUCCCGGGCCU
rnacentral:rRNA from 1 species